UAGGGAAUCUUCCGCAAUGGACGCAAGUCUGACGGAGCAACGCCGCGUGAGUGAAGAAGGAUUUCGGUUCGUAAAACUCUGUUGUUAGAGAAGAACAGCGCAUAGAGUAACUGUUAUGCGUGUGACGGUAUCUAACCAGAAAGCCACGGCUAACUACGUGCCAGCAGCCGCGGUAAUACGUAGGUGGCAAGCGUUGUCCGGAUUUAUUGGGCGUAAAGCGAGCGCAGGCGGUCAAUUAAGUCUGAUGUGAAAGCCCCCGGCUCAACCGGGGAGGGUCAUUGGAAACUGGUUGACUUGAGUGCAGAAGAGGAGGGUGGAAUUCCAUGUGUAGCGGUGAAAUGCGUAGAUAUAUGGAGAAACACCAGUGGCGAAGGCGACUCUCUGGUCUGUAACUGACGCUGAGGCUCGAAAGCGUGGGUAGCAAACAGG
rnacentral:rRNA from 1 species